rnacentral:rRNA from 1 species
AUUGAACGCUGGCGGCAGGCCUAACACAUGCAAGUCGAACGGCUGCAGGGGGCUUGGCCCCGGAUUCCGCGGCGGACGGGUGUGUGAUGCACAUGAAUCUGCGUGGUAUUGUGGGGUAACGUCCGGCGACGGCCGCUAAUAUCCCACACAUCCUGAGCGAGUAAGUGGGGGGUAUUCGCACCUCACGCUAUAAGAUGAUGCUAGGUCGGAUUAGCUAGUUGGUGGGGUAAAGGCCUACCAAGGCGACGAUCUGUAACUGGUCUGAGAGGAUGAUCAGUCACACUGGAACUGAGACACGGCCCAGACUCCUACGGGAGGCAGCAUUGGGGAAUUUUGGACAAUGGGCGAAAGCCUGAUCCAGCAAUGCCGCGUGUGUGAAGAAGGCCUUCGGAUUGUAAAGCACUUUAGUCUGGGAAGAAGUGCAGUAAGUUAAUACCGUGCUGGUUUGACGGUACCAAAAGAAUAAGCACCGGCUAACUUCGUG